UACAGAGGGUGCGAGCGUUGUCCGGAAUCACUGGGCGUAAAGGGCGCGUAGGUGGCGACCCAAGUCGAUGGUGAAAGCUCGCCGCUCAACGGCGAGUCGGCCACCGAUACUGGGUUGCUGGAGCACUGUAGAGGCUCAUGGAAUUCCGGGUGUAGCGGUGGAAUGCGUAGAGAUCCGGAAGAACGACCGGUGGCGAAGGCGGUGAGCUGGGCAGUUGCUGACACUGAGGCGCGGACAGCGUGGGGAGCAAACAGGG
rnacentral:rRNA from 1 species